rnacentral:lncRNA from 1 species
CAGGACUGGCACUUGGUAUUGGAUAACCAAUUGGUGUGUCUUCCCUGGGGAAGAUUAUGUAUCUCUCCUGCUCUCAGCAAUCCUUGGCUGCCUGUAGUUCUUUGACGAGGGUUUACCUUGUGGUCUUUCCUGGUCCACUUUUUUCCAGUGUUGUCUCACGUUUGGGCAGUCAUGUUGCUUGGAUUCUGUCACGGGCAAAUGCUUAUGCACCAAGUGCUUUAUGGAUUGGAACAAUCUCUGGCCCCUAGAUGUCACUGCCCAUACCUGCCUGCUUCCCUCUUUUCUGAGACAAAGUCUCACCAUGUUGUAUCCUGAGUUUCAAGGGCUUAAUAAGCAACCUUUUCCUGUUGCAACCUCUGAGGAGCUGGGACCACAGACACUCAUCACCAUGCCCAGCAAAGUGAGUGUUUUCGUCAUCAGUUCUACUUUGAAACUCUUCCUGGCUCCACAAAUCUGCCCCCCACAUGGCAGGAACAAGACUUCUCAGUGUGAGGACUCUGCAGCCUCUUCCUUUGGACAUGGGGUGAGAGCUGCUGGGGUCUGACUGACACUGGUCAAAGGAAUAGAUGCCCACAUUCUAGGCCAUACCACCUCCUGAGUGUCUGCCCCUCCGUUUGUCUCCUGCGUGGGAGUGUGCUUGUGGUGGCAGGGCACUGGUCAUGGUGGGAACCUGUCUGUCUGGGUUUCAGAGCAAUGUUCCUUAUGUGAAUGGGACACAGUCACAGACCCUAUCUCAGAAGAGAACUCAGAGGCCGGUGACUGGCACCAGUCAUGUGGCAGAUCUUCUGUAUGACAAACUCCUGGCUUGUCUGGACCCUUCUAGGAUCUUGAGGAGACAACUGCAUCCCCAUGGCCGUGGUGUCUCAUAAAAAUUGUCACUUAUCAUUUGUGUCUGUGAGAGCUUCCCUCAGACUGUACAAGCUUCAGACCUGCACACUGGGACUCUUUUUGGAAAGAGCACUGAAUUUGUUAGACAGUGUGACCCCAGACUCAGCAGCAGCAGCUAUAUUACAUGUUGGGUUGUUGGAAGCCUUGACAUGCUUUGUUGUGUAAACUCCAGAGCUGUCGCUCUGCCUCUUAGAGCUCCAUUCUCUGUAACCAUGACAAUUGGAUAUCCAUCCCUCACUGCUUCCCACCUGGGUUCUGUGCAUGGCUGGAGGGUGGGCCCUGCCUCACUCAUCUUCCUGCCCUGACCCACAAUUCACCAGGUGUCAAGGAGGUGAGCACGUGCCUCAAGGCUGUGAUGAUGAUUGUGACUGUCACAUGUACUUUGGAGGCCAGCAGUCCAAUGGCUCUACUCUUUGGAACCAGGAAACACAGGCUCAGGCAACAUCCAGACGAUGAGAAGGAAUUCUGUGAAACACCAUCUUCUGGACCGGACAUGGCUGCUGCCCUGCUUGCCCCGCUCCCGCCUGUGGAUCACAGCAGGGGAGGUUACCUGCAGAAAACCUGUCAACAGCCAAGUGUUUGUGGCUCCAAAAGGAAGAGUCCACCAGGAGAUGAAGCUGUGCCAUGUUGUGUGCUUUAUUACUGAGGAAAGAACAGAAGCAUCACACACGAGGUGAGCCAACCCCUGCAACAGCGCUCACAGCGGUGUCUGAGGACUGGAAAGAAUACUGAAGGGAGCAGCAGCUGGGCAGACCAUACCUCAGGCUGGCAAGACAGCUUAGAGGUAAAGGCACUUACUGCCCACCUGAAGAAAAGUUUGGUUCCCAGAGCCCACAAGUUUGGGAGAAAACCUAUUCCCACCGGCUGCCCUCUGACUUCCAUAUGCACACCACAGUACAUGUGCAACCCCCGACACACUCAAUGAGUAAACGUCUUAAAUUCUUUUAAAGAGAUGGUCUGACACAUCACUGCUUCUGGUGGCAUAGAAGCUACUGUGUGUGUUUGAGGGCAGGGGGAGGAUCGGACUCUGUGGCCGUCCUUGGAUACAUAAGUGAGACCUCAAAAGCAAGAGGCAGCAGAGGGGAAGAUGAAAAGGAAGAAAAGAGAGCAUCUUCUCCCAGCCAAAGUAAAGUUGAACUUGAAUGAGAGGACGUCUUGAGACUCCUUUGCUACACACAGUGGUUCUGGCUUGAAGAA